rnacentral:rRNA from 1 species
UGGGGAAUAUUGCACAAUGGGCGCAAGCCUGAUGCAGCCAUGCCGCGUGUGUGAAGAAGGCCUUCGGGUUGUAAAGCUCUGUCUUUUGGGACGAUAAUGACGGUACCAAAGGAGGAAGCCACGGCUAACUACGUGCCAGCAGCCGCGGUAAUACGUAGGUGGCAAGCGUUGUCCGGAUUUACUGGGCGUAAAGGAUGCGUAGGCGGAUUUUUAAGUGAGAUGUGAAAACCCUAAGCUUAACUUGGGGACUGCAUUUCAUACUGGAAAUCUAGAGUGCGGGAGAGGAGAAUGGAAUUCCUAGUGUAGCGGUGAAAUGCGUAGAGAUUAGGAAGAACACCAGUGGCGAAGGCGAUUCUCUGGACCGUAACUGACGCUGAGGCAUGAAAGCGUGGGUAGCAAACAGGAUUAGAUACCCUGGUAGUCCACGCCGUAAACGAUGAGUACUAGGUGUAGGAGGUAUCGACCCCUUCUGUGCCGCAGUUAACACAAUAAGUACUCCGCCUGGGAAGUACGAUCGCAAGAUUAAAAACUC